CUGCUAUAGAGGAGGGAGAGACGUGAGGAGGUGCUAUUUACCCAAGCCGGAGAGAGGAGUUCAGCUCUCCCACUUUUAGCAGGAAGGUCCCCCUUCAUCUGCCCCAGCUCAAAGAGAGGAGCUUUUGCUAGUGUCACCCGCUGGAAGGAAGAUAUGGAAACGUGUUUGGCUGCUGGGCAGAACAAGAUAUUAAACAGGUACUACUGGACUCCAGAACAUUUGUUUAAGACUAGAGUGGCAACUGCCCCCCGAGGAAGCCAAAGCCAGAACUAGACGCAGUACUCAAGCAGCGGUCACACCAGUGCUAAAUACAGAGCCCCCAUUGGCCUGGGACGGCGAACCGCGUCCAGUGGGAGCCACAAUCGGCCAAACCUGCAGAUGCAGCAGGUAAACAAACCGGCCUGGCCCACCAGGGGGCUUACCCUGGCGAGCCGUGUGCCAAAGGUUGCCGAUCCCUGUACUAAUGGAAUGGCAUGAGUAUUGUAACCCCUUUAGGGUUUUGAGAGCAUGGCCCCUUUAAAUCUUUGUCCUGAAGGGGAAGUGCUGAUUGUUCCUGAAGAAGGAAGUGCUGUUGGGGGAAGUGAGGGGGAGCAGAGAAAGAGGGAAAAGAGACAGGAUGUGUGUGUCUGGAGUUCUAGACAGAAGGUCUGCAGUAAACAGGCCCUCACAGAGUGAAGCAGCUGAGAACCUGCCAGAAGCCUGGGAAUGACAUAGUGACUGACCGGGGCCCCAAGACAGGAGUCAGGAGGAGCACUCUGCCAGGGAGGCAAGUAUCAGAAGGGAGGAACCGCCAGGGAGGAAUCACCCGAAAAGGACAAGCCAGAGCUGGACCCUAUAUCACUGCUGCCCAGAGCUGUCUGGGGCCAUGAGUACUGAGACUUGUGACUUUGCAUUGGGAAUAAGGAGGGAGGCUGUUAACUAGUUAAGUGAGGAAGCUGUUGUUCUGUGUGGCUUUGUAGAGAGUGUCAGAAGAGGGCACCCGAGGGGUUUACUGGGGAGAGUUUACUAGCACCAAAGACGACCAGGAGCACCCAAAACUAACCACUGGACUGGAACUUUGCCCAGGAUUCCUGAUCUCUGUGUGAAGACACAUUGCUCGAUGUCUGCCCUUUCAGACUGUGGUACCACUGGGCCUGUGGGGCCUUGAGUUGAAUGUAACCCUGUUUUACCACUCCCCCUGUAUUUCCCCCUGUUGUUUUUCUCCUUUCAUCCCUCUGUAAACAAACAUUUCCCUUUCCCAUCUUCAUUGUACUCUUCCAAGGUGUAUGCGUUCACUCUGGGGGAUUGGAACAGGUGCCCCUGAGGUGGAAGGGACUUUCACUGCUCCAUUCCUGCACAUGCCUUUUCUUGGCCAGAGCUGCCUGCAGAGCAGACUCCAUCUUGGCCAUGAGGGCACUGAAGUUAUAGUGGUAUAACCAUACGACUAUAGGACUAUAACAAGGUUUAAAAGAGAACUAGAUAAAUUCAUGGAGGUUAAGUCCAUUAAAGGCUAUUAGCCAGGAUGGGUAAGCAAUAGUGUCCCUAGCCUCUGUUGUUAGAGGGUGAAGAUGGAUGUCAGGAGAGAGAUCACUUGAUCAUUACCCUGUAAGGUUCACUCCCUCUGGGGCACCUGUCAUUGUCCACUGUCAGUAGACAGGAUACUGGGCUUUGGUCUGACCCAGUAUGGCCGUUCUUAUGUUCUUAUGAUGAGACUAUAUCAAACAGAACAGAAAUAUUUACUGAACACGUCUGUCUUUUCUGCAAUAUUACUAAUAAUUCUACUAGUUCCAUCUAGCAAUGGCCCAAUACCAUUGGCAGGUAUUGGUCUUGUUCCUAAUAUAUUUUAAAAACCUCCUUCUUAUUGUCUUUAACUCUGCUGGCCAUAGAUUUCUCCUUGUAUCCCUUUGAUUCCCUUAUCAGUUUUCUAUAAUGCUAAGCUUCUGAUUUAUAUUCAUUACUGUCAACUUCUCCUUUCUUAUAUAUUAUUUUUUAUGGCUGCCCUCACUUCCCCUCUAAACCAAGUCAUUUUAUUAACCAGCAGAGCCUUGGUAAUCAAUUGUGAGAUGGCUAGAGACAAUAGCUAGGUUGACAGAAGCAUUCUUCCAUCAACCUAGUUGCAGCUAUACUGGAGGUUAGGUUGGCAUAGCUACAGCACUCAGGGGUGUGGAUUUUUCACAACCCUGAGAGCUGUAGCUAUGGUGAUCUAAAUUGUAGGUAUAGAUCAGGCCUGAGACUAACUACACUGAUUGCCUAUAACAACAAAUUAGCUGGGAAAUAAAGAUCACAAUUGAAGUGAUAGUCUCAAUUAGCCAGUCUUAGCAGAUAGAUUAUGUGGGCACAAAAAAAUUUUCUGACCUCUGGGAAGAUAAAGUACAGUACUUCCAAAUAUGAGUGGCCCUCAUUUGGAAGUAUCAAAAAAUUUCUAAAUUAUCUUUGGAUCACUAUAACCAAUAGCUACAUUUUUUGUGUUAUCCAGAUGACUAAGUCAUAAAUGCAUUCUAAAUCCCAAUUUAGUCUUGGCUUGGUCUUCUCUGUACAUGCUGUAUGUGUCAUGAUUAGCUACUGUUGAUGAUUUAAUAUCAAUAUGACAAAUGAAUCAUCCACUGAAUCACUUCAGAGUUUGUCUCUGAACUGUUUUAAGAAUCAUUACAGUGCUGUUACUCUGCAUGUCAGUUCCCAGUAAACUGAAUUUUCUAAACUAUAAUCUGUUAAAAUGUGUUCCAAAUGCCACUGCAUAUGUACUGUAUGCUAAUUCAAUAUUCCAAUAUCCUUUACUUCCCUUGUUUUCUCCAUCCUCUAUGAUUUGAUCUGUACUUAUGUUUCCUGUAUAAAUUAAGAUUGAAAAUUCCUCAGGGCAGGGGCCUCAUCUGUAUAGCAUUAUCUGUAAAUCAUUAUCCAUACCUGUGAUGCUACAUGUAUAAUAAAUGAAAAUAGGUGUUACAGUAAUAGUUUUUGGUAACAAAACUGAAAGGUGAAACAACAAUAGUAUCCCAUCCAAAUUGUAACAACUCUCUAUGGUCUCCUGACGGUACUUCUGCUUGCACUGGGAAGUAUAACAGCUAAAAUUAGGAUUAGUCUCUUCCUAUUAGUACAACCUUAAAAGGGAUUGGUCCAUUAAUUAAAAAACCCAAAGCCCCUGGUUGUGUUAUACUACAAACCAUGUUGUCACAAUCAGCCCUGAAUCUUGAGUAUGUCUUCAUUCACCAGUUACAGUUUCGCCUACCAAGUUUUACCAAAAGUUUUGCCGAAAGUCAAAUGAAUGUUUGCACAGUACAUCUAGCAUGUGUAAGAAGGGAGCCAUCGUGAAUCACAACUCAUUGGGGCCUUGCUUGGCUCUAUGGACAUCCUGCCAUCAGCUCCCUCAGAGUCUACUUGCACCCAGAGCCUUUAAACAAUAUUCCCUUCUCCUGGGGUCCAAUUUAUGUAGUUCAAAUCAGCUUACCCCCAGAAAGCUCCCUUUUAGGUUCUAGGGGCUUCCCAGACCUCUUUUUUGGGGCAGAGGGGAUUUCAUGUGAGGCUUCUCCCUCCUUGGCACAGGUGACCCACAGCCCGUCUGCUGGAGCUGUGUUAUCGUGUAAUAAAA